UGUGGCAAGUCAGUUAGGACAUCUACUUUGUGCAUGACACAAGUAAUGUUUCCAACAAUUGUUUACAGACAGAUUAUUUCACUUCUAAUUCACUGUAUCACAAUUCCAGUGGGUCAGAAGUGUACAUAAGUUGACUGUGCCUUCAAAUAGCUUGGAAAAUUCCAGAAAAUUAUGUCAUGGCUUUAGAAGAUUCUGAUAGGCUAACUGACAUCAUUUGAGUCAAUUGGAGGUUUAGCUGUGGAUGUAUUUCAAGACCUACCUUCAAACUCAGUGCCUCUUUGCUUGACAUCAUUGGAAAAUGUAAAGAAAUCAGCCAAGACCUCAGAAAACAAAUUGUAGACCUCCACAAGUCUGGUUCAACCUCGGGAGCAAUUUCCAAAUGCCUGAAGGUACCACAUUCAUCUGUACAAACAAUAGCACGCAAGUAUAAACACCAUGGGACCACACAGCCAUCAUUAUCACUCAGGAAGGAGACGCAUUCUGUUUCCUAGAGAUGAACAUAUUUUGGUGUGAAAAGUGCAAAUCAAUCCCAGAACAAGAGCAAAGGACCUUGUGAAGAUGCUGCAACUGCACAUGGGGACAAAGAUCAUACUUUUUGGAGAAAUGUCCUCUGGUCUGAUGAAACAAGAAUAGACCUGUUAGGCCAUAAUGACCAUCGUUAUGUUUUGGAGGAAAAAGGGGAGGCUUGCAAGCCAAAGAACACCAUCCCAACCGUGAAGCACGGGGGUGGCAGCAUCAUGUUGUGGGGGUGCUUUGCUGCAGGAGGGACUGGUGCACUUCACAAAAUAGAUGGCAUCAUGAGAAGGAAAAUUAUGUAGAUAUAUUUAAGCAACAUCUCAUGACACCAGCCAGGAAGUUAAAGCUUGGUCACAAAUGGGUCUUCCAACUGGACAAUGACGCCAAGCUUACUUACAAAGUUGUGGCAAAAUGGCUUAAGGACAACAAAGUCAAGGUAUUGGAGUGACAAUCACAAAGCCCAAUCCUAUAGAAAAUGUGUGGGCAGAACAGAAAAAGCAUGUGCGAGCAAGGAAGUCUACUAACCUGACUCAGUUUCACCAACUCUGCCAGGAGGAAUGGGCCAAAAUUCACCCAACUUAUUGUGGGAAGCUUGUUGAAGGCUACCUGAAACGUUUGACCUAAAUAAAACAAUUUAAAGGCAAUGCUACCAAAUACUAAUGGAGUGUAUUUAAAUUUCUGACCGACUGGGAAUGUGAUGAAAGAAACAAAAGAUUAAAUAAAUCAUUAUCUUUACUAUUAUUCUGACAUUUCACAUUCUUAAAAUAAAGUGUUGAUCCUAACUGACCAAAGACAGGGAUUUUUUACUCUGAUUAAAUGUCAGGAAUUGUGAAAAACUGAGUUUAAAUGUACAUGGCUAAGGUGUACGUAAACUUCCGACUUCAACUGUAUGUAUAUAUAUAUAUAUUUUAAUUCUCAGGACAUUAACCAUGUGCGUUCGCUUAUUUUUUACUGUUCUAUAGUGUCGACCCAACGAUUUGUCUGGCAAACAAAGAACUGUGUGUCCUGCAGGCCCAGGCAUGGAUCAAAGCUGGCGAGACAUUCGAUGAUGUCGUCUUCACUGACGAAUCAACCAUGGCCCUUGUUCAAUUUGCUCAAAAUCAAGCAAGCCGAGUCCCAAGCAUUCGCUCAAACUACAUGUGUGGAUGUAUGGGGGGAAAAUUCUCGCCAGGGACCAGGCCCAUAUUUGAUUUUUCAUGGUCCGUAUGGCUAUUUUACAAAGCUAAAAGAACAUAAAAUAUUGUAGCCUACACCUCAAAGACUGUUAUGUGUGCAACAAUAAUUCACUCUUGCCUCCUUUUCAGGUAUCAUGGCUCGAGAUUUCUUUGAUAUGCUGGACCGUAUGUCAGAGAGGUGUUUCUGGGACCACAUUGUUUCUUUCAACGUAGGAUUAUAGCAAUAUUUUGAUAAGUUUAGGCCUAUUUACAUUAAUAUUUAUAUUAUUGUAAUAAUGGUUUUUGUCCUCCUCUUCUGAGGAGGAGUAGUGAGAAGGAUCGGAGGACCAAUGAGCAGCGUGACAAUGACCCAAAACACACUCCCGCCCAGGUUUGCAUUGCAAAUGAGGGCAUAAACUGGGUGAAGACGCCAGCAGAGUAAAUAGACCUUUAUGUAGUACAAUAAAGGUUAAAUAAAAAUUAAGUAAAAAACAAAUGACCUACAACACCUUCGGUAGGCCUACAGUAUAUCUAAAAACUUGUUUUCAUCUCUACAUGUAGGUCUCCUAAUUUAAACACGAUCUAACUUGUUUGGCAUCAACAGAAAACAUUAAUCCGUAACUCUCCCAAGUUGACAAGCAAAGAUGACCUGGACGAGGCCAUCAAGAUGUUUUUGUGAGAGAAAUUGACGAUACAACAAUGCAUCAAAUACAUUGAUCAUCUCAGCAAGGUUUUUCCUAUGGUCGUGGAGCUGGGUGGAAGUGUGACUAAAAUGUAGUUUAAAUAAACAUCCGCAUUUGAAUGUCUUUUUUCUCAUUAUUUUAUUAACAAAAGCAUAAAGAUGUUGAUGAGGAAAUACUGUACUACUGUUUUGUGUUAGAAAUGUAACACUUUAGAGUACUUAAGCAUUGAAUACAUAAGUUGAGGGAUUUUCACAACAGUAGCCGGGCUAUAAAAAGCCUAUUGUCCUGCUAAUAGGAAACAUUUGCAUGAUGGGCAACACCUGCUACAGUACUACAGUAAACCUGUUUUCAAAAUGCCUCCAGUUGCCCAUCACAACUGUAAAUAAAAACACAGCAUCUUGUUUACAUCUUGUUUACAUUAUUUGUUGUAACCACAAUGUCGCAAAUAAUUUGUAUCUACCUUUCCAAUUACUAUUCGAGUUCGGGAUUUACAAAUGUGCGCUUUUCAUUAUUAGUUACAUUGUUUUAGUUUGAACAUGCAUUUUUCUAUGAAUGAUUGUUUUAUGCAGGAUGCUACAUUUUUGACCAGGCUGUUAAGCCUCAUAGUCUACCUCAGCCAGUUAAGUUAUUUAAUAUAGGUCUAGGCUCUGAAGAAAUAGACUCCAAUUAAGCCCUCUUGUUGUUUUAAAGUCCAAU
ensembl:lncRNA